rnacentral:rRNA from 1 species
AGUCGAGCGAACGGAUAAGGAGCUUGCUCCUUUGAAGUUAGCGGCGGACGGGUGAGUAACACGUGGGUAACCUACCUAUAAGACUGGAAUAACUUCGGGAAACCGGAGCUAAUGCCGGAUAACAUUUGGAACCGCAUGGUUCUAAAGUAAAAGAUGGUUUUGCUAUCACUUAUAGAUGGACCCGCGCCGUAUUAGCUAGUUGGUAAGGUAACGGCUUACCAAGGCAACGAUACGUAGCCGACCUGAGAGGGUGAUCGGCCACACUGGAACUGAGACACGGUCCAGACUCCUACGGGAGGCAGCAGUAGGGAAUCUUCCGCAAUGGAC